UCCAGCUUAUCGCUGGCGGUCUCCUGCGAGUCCCCCCUUGCGGGAUGGCAACACAGGACAAGGGUUGCGCUCGUUGCGGGACUUAACCCAACAUCUCACGACACGAGCUGACGACAGCCGUGCAGCACCUACGUAGCGGUCUCUUGCGAGAAAAGGAUAUUUCUACCCCGGUCCACUACGCUUCGAGCCCAGGUAAGGUUCUUCGCGUUGCGUCGAAUUGAACCACAUGCUCCACCGCUUGUGCGGGCCCCCGUCAAUUCCUUUGAGUUUUAACCUUGCGGCCGUACUCCCCAGGCGGAUAACUUAAUGCGUUAGCUGCGCCACCAAAAGCCCAUGGCCCCUGACAGCUAGUUAUCAUCGUUUACGGCGUGGACUAC
rnacentral:misc_RNA from 1 species